rnacentral:rRNA from 1 species
UCGGGAAUAUUGCGCAAUGGAGGAAACUCUGACGCAGUGACGCCGCGUGCAGGAAGAAGGUUUUCGGAUUGUAAACUGCUUUAGACAGGGAAGAAACAAGACAGUACCUGUAGAAUAAGCUCCGGCUAACUACGUGCCAGCAGCCGCGGUAAUACGUAGGGAGCAAGCGUUAUCCGGAUUUAUUGGGUGUAAAGGGUGCGUAGACGGGAGAGCAAGUUAGUUGUGAAAUCCCUCGGCUUAACCGAGGAACUGCAACUAAACUACUUUUCUUGAGUGCUGGAGAGGAAAGUGGAAUUCCUAGUGUAGCGGUGAAAUGCGUAGAUAUUAGGAGGAACACCAGUGGCGAAGGCGACUUUCUGGACAGUAACUGACGUUGAGGCACGAAAGUGUGGGGAGCAAACAGGAUUAGAUACCC